UGUUGGCCUAGUUCUGUGUGGAAGACUAGUGAUUUUGUUGUUUUUAGAUAACUAAGACGACAACAAAUCACAGUCUGCCAUAUGGCACAGGCCACCU
ensembl:miRNA Mir7-1 microRNA 7-1